AAACAAACAAAAGGGUAAAACUAGUAGUUUAGGCUCAGAGUAUGUGUUGUCAUCCUCAUCAUUGUGUUCAAUCGUUCAACUAAGAGGUUUCUUUGGACACCGUUCUUGUUAGGAUUCAUUGACUCUUAUUUUUCUCUUUUUUUUUCAUGCGCUCCUUUGAGCACAUAUUUUGCCAACCUCAAUUUUUCUAGAUAAGUGCUUUAUUUUACUUCUCAACUUUUUCAUUCUUCUUUCUUUUUCUAUUUUUUUUGAAUUUUCACAACUAUAUUUUUCAACCGCACUUAUCUAGUUCUUACCGGUGUCCCAACCCCAAACUUAGAAUUUUCCACAUAUCAACAAUCAACAACACUUAUCC
rnacentral:lncRNA from 1 species